CAGCCCUUGACAUGUCCCGUAUGGGCCGGAGAGAUCAGGUCCUUCAGUUCGGCUGGCGGGAACACAGGUGCUGCAUGGCUGUCGUCAGCUCGUGUCGUGAGAUGUUGGGUUAAGUCCCGCAACGAGCGCAACCCUCAUCCUCAGUUGCCAUCAGGUUAAGCUGGGCACUCUGAGGAAACUGCCGGUGACAAGCCGGAGGAAGGUGGGGAUGACGUCAAGUCCUCAUGGCCCUUACGGGCUGGGCUACACACGUGCUACAAUGGCGGUGACAAUGGGAUGCUAAGGGGCGACCCUUCGCAAAUCUCAAAAAGCCGUCUCAGUUCGGAUUGGGCUCUGCAACUCGAGCCCAUGAAGUUGGAAUCGCUAGUAAUCGUGGAUCAGCACGCCACGGUGAAUA
rnacentral:rRNA from 1 species